rnacentral:lncRNA from 1 species
UCCCAGUUGAGGCAACAUAGAAGGUUCUUUUCCCAGUUGAGGCAACAUAGAAGGUUCUUUUCCCUGUUGAGGCAACAUAGAAGGUUCUUUUCCCUGUUGAGGCAACACAGAAGGUUCUUUUCCCUGUUGAGGCAACACAGAAGGUCCUUUUCCCUGUUGAGGCAACACAGAAGGUUCUUUUCCCUGUUGAGGCAACACAGAAGGUUCUUUUCCCUGUUGAGGCAACACAGUCAUCUCCUGAAAUCCACAUGGCAUUGCCACCAAGGAUGGUUGACCAUCAAACAGUUCAGCUGGACUCGGACCUUGAUACCUUACAUCUGCAA